rnacentral:lncRNA from 1 species
GGGAGGUCAUGCCUACAUAGCCUGUGUUUGUGUGUCUAUGCUUCUGAUCUUCUCCUGUUCUGCUGUGACCUGUACAGCCCCGACAGAAGCUAUGCACUGGUGGGCUCCUCAAAUGGCACCCUGUACAUCUGGGAUGUGAACACUGGGAAACUGGAGACCAGCCUACAGGGACCGCACUGCACUGCUGUCAAUGCCGUGGCUUGGUGCUUCUCCGGGAACCAUGUUGUGAGUGUGGACCAAGUCAGGAAGGUGGUGCUCUGGCACUAGUGGCACAAGUUCCCUGUAUGGUUUGGACUCUGUUCUGAAGCCAGAAGCCAGAGAGCAGCUUCCCUGUGCUCAGGACUCCAGAGCUGGGGUUGGGGUCUACUGUAGAAUUCACGUGAGGGCCAGGCAGGACCUGGCCUGUUUGUUUAAAAUCAAAGUGUGGGUUAGGAACUACAGUUCUUGAAAAUCUGUUUACUCUCCUCAGUGUUAAAAACUAUAUGUAAGAC